rnacentral:rRNA from 1 species
AGUGACAAAAUUCAACGGCCACGGUAUCCUAACCGUGCAAAGGUAGCAUAAUCACUUGUUCUUUAAAUGAGGACUUGUAUCAACGGCACCACGAGGAUUAUACUGUCUCCUUUUUCUAAUCAGUGAAACUAAUCUCCCCGUGAAGAAGCGAGGAUACUAAUAUAAGACGAGAAGACCCCAUGGAGCUUAAAACCCAACUACACCUCUAAUUUUUAUGCCCUCACAACCUCUUGAGUCUUGUACAGUUGGUUUUCGGUUGGGGCGACCACGGAGCACAACAAAACCUCCACAAUGAACGGGCCUACACCCUUAUCUAUGAGCUACCUCUCUAAGAAUUAAAACAUUAACAUAAUAUGAUCCACUUUUGAUCAAUGAACCAAGUUACCCUGGGGAUAAC